UGGCUGUGAUGACAAUCGCGCUAUCGCAACGGUUGGGUCUGUUGCUCUCGUCUGAUCAUCAGAUGAAAAUUCCAGCGCUGCUGAGCCU
rfam:Erythranthe guttata cultivar DTN x IM62 scaffold_294_contig_7, whole genome shotgun sequence.